UCGAACGAUGAAACCGCCCUCGGGCGGACAUGAAGUGGCGAACGGGUGAGUAACACGUGACCAACCUGCCCCUUGCUCCGGGACAACCUUGGGAAACCGAGGCUAAUACCGGAUACUCCUCGCCCCCCUCCUGGGGGCCCGGGAAAGCCCAGACGGCAAGGGAUGGGGUCGCGGCCCAUUAGGUAGUAGGCGGGGUAACGGCCCACCUAGCCCGCGAUGGGUAGCCGGGUUGAGAGACCGACCGGCCACAUUGGGACUGAGAUACGGCCCAGACUCCUACGGGAGGCAGCAUG
rnacentral:rRNA from 1 species